GUCAGCUUCGGCAGCACAUAUACUAAAAAUUGGAACGAUACAGAGAAGGUUAGCAUGGCCCCUGCCUCUCAACGGAUGAAGACGCAAUUCGUGAAGCAUUCCAUAUUUUA